rnacentral:lncRNA from 1 species
CCUCCUGUCGGGUUGAGCGGGGAGGCACACACCUGCCCCAGACUGCAGCUCAGAAGAGGCAGAGGCGAGGGUCAAGCGUUCCACACCCCGAGGUCCCCGGGGGCCCCGUCAGAGAAGGUCCUGGGCGCAGACUUCACCUUCUGGACCUUCUCCUAUCCGGAAAGUACGUGGCCCACACAGUGGUGCGAGGAGCCUUGGGCUGGGCAGCUGCUGGCCUGGAUCCGAGUCCUGCCCUGGCGAAAGUGCUGAUUACUUUACAUACUUCUACAUCUGCAGAACCAGGUGAUUGAUCCUCAAAGCCCAGCCAGCUCCAGCAAGCUCUGGUACCUGCAACCACGGGCCGCCCUGUGCCCGGCCCACCUUCCUUGAACCAUGUUCCGCUCACCUGUGGCGCGGCCGCCCCCGGAGCAGCGCGUGCCGUGUGCCGAGGACAGAGGCAGACCCGGACAGAGUAUGUGGA